GCCCCCAAGGGGCGGAGGCCACGGCGCGUCACCUUCCCUACCCGAGAGCGGGCGCGGCCGCCGGGAGCUGUUGCAAGAAGGAAACAGUCCAGCCUCUCCACUUGCUCCAACUCAAGGUGAAACCACACCUGCACCAUGUCCACCCUUCCCUGGAGCCAUUUUUGCAGCCCUUGGGACACUCCCUCUCAAAACCCAGCUGUCACGCUGAAAGAAGCCCAACUAGUCAUGUGAAGAAGCCACAUGGAUGAAAUUCCAGACCCACGCUGACACCCCCUCACUGGACACCCAAGGAACAGCCAGCACCACCUGGCCAGCCACGUGUGUGAGCAGAUCUCCUGAGCAGAGUCAAGCCCAUCCUCUCAGAUGCCACGAGGAACAGAGGCUGGAAGCCAAUCCCUGAGUUGUCAGCAAAUUCCAGGUGCCGGCUCUCUCCACCACCGUUAUAAUCACUGUUGAUAUAGAGAUAAGACUACCUCUCUCCACCCCUUGGAAACACCUACUGAUAUGGAAGUGCAUGAAGGCCAG